ensembl:lncRNA
UGUAUUUGUUUGUUUCAGAUGCUGAGAGAUCAAGUGGUGGACGUCCAGAGAGGAGAGGUGAGUUAGAAACAUGCACAUUGUCACACAUUGCUGCUUUAUUCAUGUGUUUGUUUAUUUCAGAUGCUGAGAGAUCAAGUGGUGGACGUCCAGAGAGGAGAGGUGAGUUAGAAACAUGCACAGUGUCACGUAGGUGAUGAGUGUUUUGUGUGUCUCUUUAUUGCGGUGACUUGUUUUGAUCACUUGUAUGUUUGAUUGAUUGCUUUGUGACACAUUGAAGACAUUGGACUUUGAUCAUUUACUCAUAUGUGUCUUUUAUUUGUUUCAGGAGGUUCACAGAGAUUAGUUGCAACAAGAAAACGCUAUGCAUGGUGUCAGAGAUUUGCCGUAGAAGCAGAGCUUCUUCUUCUUCUUCUUCUUCUUCUUCUUCUUCUUCUUCUUCUUCUUCUUCUUCUUCUUCUUCUUCUUCUUCUUCUUCUUCUUCUUCUUCUUCUUCUUCUUCUUCUUCUUCUUCUUCUUCUUCUUCUUCUUCUUCUUCUUCU